CCUGGCCAAAUCAUAAUGAAAUAGAGACUCUUACAAAUAAGUUUUAUCGAAGAGGUAAUAUACCAGGAGUGGUCGGGGCAAUAGAUGUAGCUAACAUAAACUUUAAAGCGCCGACGGAGCAGCAAGAGAGCUAUAUUGAUAGAAAAAUGCAGCACAGUAUUAAGUUGCAGGGUAUAUGCACCUCUGACAAAAUUUUUACUAAUAUAGUGGUGGGCUGGCCAGGUUCUGUUCAUGAUAGUAGGGUUUUCCAAAAUUGUGAAAUCUUUAGGAAAGUAUCCAAUAACAUAGACAGGAAUAAAUAUUUUCCUACAUUG